rnacentral:rRNA from 3 species
AAAUUGAAGAGUUUGAUCAUGGCUCAGAUUGAACGCUGGCGGCAGGCCUAACACAUGCAAGUCGAACGGUAGCACAGAGAGCUUGCUCUCGGGUGACGAGUGGCGGACGGGUGAGUAAUGUCUGGGAAACUGCCUGAUGGAGGGGGAUAA